UACGAAGGGGGGCUAGCGUUUGCUCGGAAUCACUGGGCGUAAAGCGCACGUAGGCGGCUUUUUAAGUCAGGGGUGAAAUCCUGGAGCUCAACUCCAGAACUGCCUUUGAUACUGAGAAGCUUGAGUCCGGGAGAGGUGAGUGGAACUGCGAGUGUAGAGGUGAAAUUCGUAGAUAUUCGCAAGAACACCAGUGGCGAAGGCGGCUCACUGGCCCGGUACUGACGCUGAGGUGCGAAAGCGUGGGGAGCAAACAGG
rnacentral:rRNA from 1 species